rnacentral:rRNA from 1 species
GAUUUCUGGCUUGAUGUACCUGUCCCUCUUGGGUUAACCAGGCUGUGUGACGGAGUAUGUCUGCCAUCCUUCUAGAGAAUACAAGCUAUCCUUCACUGGACCGGUUUGUGUCAUCUAGAUCUUUUACUUUGAAAAAAUUAGAGUGUUUCAAGCAGGCAUGUUUUGCUAUGAAUACAUUAGCAUGGAAUAAUAAUCUAGGACUUUCGGUUCUAUUUUGUUGGUGUUCUGGAGCUGAAGUAAUGAUUGAUAGGGAUAGUUGGGGGUGCUAGUAUUCAAUGGCCAGAGGUGAAAUUCUCGGAUUCCUUGAAGACUAACUUAUGCGAAAGCAUU